rnacentral:rRNA from 1 species
GACGAACGCUGGCGGCGUGCCUAAUACAUGCAAGUAGAACGCUGAAGAGAGGAGCUUGCUCUUCUUGGAUGAGUUGCGAACGGGUGAGUAACGCGUAGGUAACCUGCCUGGUAGCGGGGGAUAACUAUUGGAAACGAUAGCUAAUACCGCAUAAAAUGGAUUAUCGCAUGAUAAUUAAUUGAAAGGUGCAAUUGCACCACUACCAGAUGGACCUGCGUUGUAUUAGCUAGUUGGUGGGGUAACGGCUCACCAAGGCGACGAUACAUAGCCGACCUGAGAGGGUGAUCGGCCACACUGGGACUGAGACACGGCCCAGACUCCUACAGGAGGCAGCAGUAGGGAAUCUUCGGCAAUGGACGGAAGUCUGACCGAGCAACGCCGCGUGAGUGAAGAAGGUUUUCGGAUCGUAAAGCUCUGUUGUAAGAGAAGAACGAGUGUGAGAGUGGAAAGU